UGCAGUGGAAUUACUGAGUGGGUCUUCAAUCAUGAAGCGGAGUCCAUAAAAGGGUUCACACCCAAACAAGUAAUGCCUACUACAGAAUGGAUAGCAUUUGGAAUAGACUGCAUAUUGUUCAGUGGAUGCAGCCAUCAGCCGAGGACUUCAACAGCGUUGAAAGUGGCCAGCUGCCAUACUGAUGAGCGUAACUUUGAUGGUGGCACAGAAGACUUUCGUGAAUGGUGGAACACCCUCCCAUCCCCUAUGCAAGCAACAUUGAUGCAUCAAGGACUAAAGCACAGAGCAAGUUAGGCAGCUGGGCUAGCGGUUAUGUAGCGGUCUCUGGUUUGGGAUGUGGGAAAGUGUACAGAUUAAGGUGCAGAAAUUUGUUUAUUGGUGAAGUGAUGUACGACACAUUAACACUCAAGAUGGGCAGUCUAGGCACUUGGCCUUCUCUUCGUCCUUAAGCCGUGUUAUGCAAUGCUAUGAUACGCUAUGCUACGUCCCUAGGGUCACCGUGUUGGAGCCAAAAUUGUUAAUUGGGGCAUGUGGCUGGGUCGAGAAGGUUCAAGGGCAUCAGUUGUGGAAUGAUGCUAAAGUUGUGAUGAUCCAAAACUACCAGAUGUUGGCAUGGAAGAUUUUCGUAAAUGGUUUGGGAUGUGGCAAAGUGUACAGAUUAAGGUGCAGAAAUUUGUUUAUUGGUGAAGUGAUGUACGACACAUUAACACACUAGAUGGACAGUCCAGGCGCUUGGCCUUCUCUUCGUCCUUAUGCCGUGUUAUGCAAUGCUAUGAUACGCUAUGCUACGUCCCUAGCAAACUGGUUUAUGCUUUUGCAAAUAUUCCUGUUUGGAGCAUCGUCGUUGUGGAGAACUGGUACCGCCACUACUACAAUAUUUGUAUAUCGGGUUAUACAUGGAUUGGUCAAGAAUGUUGAGAUGGUCAAUUAUAUUGCUUCUCAAAUAUUGCAGUUGCUCCAGGCCUAUACCAGGUGACUGGCUGCUGGCAUAAUGACAUCUCCAAGAAGUAAUUGGCUGCUGAAUACUAAAGGAGCUGAUUGUACCUCAUUGUUAUAGCCACAUGCUGAGGUAAGAGGGUGUUGCAGUUUGUGGUGCCAGCAUUACUUCCGUGAAGAAAUGAGCUGCUAGAUUCUGCAAGGCCUGAAUUGCAACUACACUAUUUUAGGGCUCGAGAUAGGCAGCUGUUAUGGUGUUGGAGUGACUGUCUGGAGUCAAGCUUCAUGAGUUUCUUAGUCCCAGCUCAACUGAACUCCUAAUAGGUAGGCGGUUCCAGGGUGACAAGAUAUCAUGCAGCCUUUUCCAAAGUGAUUGAUGUCAAUAUGCAACAAAUGUUUAAAUACUGCAAUAAAAGAUGUAAACA
rnacentral:misc_RNA from 1 species